rnacentral:lncRNA from 1 species
UGCCCUGAUAGCCAGCGCUUUCUCAGUAAGUGUUGACUUCCAGCAGUUACGGUUAAUUUAUACAUCAAGUUGGCGGUAAUUCUUCACUCAACAAUAGUUGUAAGCAAAUUGACGGAAAUCUACGGCCGUAACUUGAAUACAAGUUUACAAUUAAACUUGUAGUUAAAUUUCCUUUCAACUUUACUACAAUUUGACAGAAAUACUUGUACAGCAAGUUUUGACGUCUAUUUGCAGAGUAAGUUAUAGGUAACUAAUAGGUAAUCGCUCGCUUUGCCAACUCUUUCCGUCAAGUUUGCUUCAAAUUGCGGACGUAGAUUGACAGUAAGUUAUAGGUAAGGUGACUAUCAGGGAUAAUUAUAUAAUUUUGA